GCUCUGAUAGCUUAGUGGAAAGCAUUGGUCUUGUAAACCAAAGAUUGUGAAAUAAUGUCUCACUCAAAGCU
rnacentral:tRNA from 1 species